CUCUCGCGAAUGCUCUAGAUUAGACGUUUGAUCAUGGCUCAGACNUGAGACGCUGGUCGGCCAAGGCCUAACACAUGCAAGUCGAACGGUAACAGGAAGCAGCUUGCUGCUUCGCUGACGAGUGGCGGACGGGUGAGUAAUGUCUGGGAAACUGCCUGAUGGAGGGGGAUAACUACUGGAAACGGUAGCUAAUACCGCAUAACGUCGCAAGACCAAAGAGGGGGACCUUCGGGCCUCUUGCCAUCGGAUGUGCCCAGAUGGGAUUAGCUAGUAGGUGGGAUAACGGCUCACCUAGGCGACGAUCCCUAGCUGGUCUGAGAGGAUGACCAGCCACACUGGAACUGAGACACGGUCCAGACUCCUACGGGAGGCAGCAGUGGGGAAUAUUGCACAAUGGGCGCAAGCCUGAUGCAGCCAUGCCGCGUGUAUGAAGAAGGCCUUCGGGUUGU
rnacentral:rRNA from 1 species